UACGAAGGGGGCUAGCGUUGCUCGGAAUCACUGGGCGUAAAGCGCACGUAGGCGGCUUCUUAAGUCAGGGGUGAAAUCCUGGAGCUCAACUCCAGAACUGCCUUUGAUACUGAGGAGCUUGAGUCCGGGAGAGGUGAGUGGAACUGCGAGUGUAGAGGUGAAAUUCGUAGAUAUUCGCAAGAACACCAGUGGCGAAGGCGGCUCACUGGCCCGGUACUGACGCUGAGGUGCGAAAGCGUGGGGAGCAACAGGAUUAGAA
rnacentral:rRNA from 1 species